AGACGAACCGACCCUGGGGAAGGAACGGUUGAACAGAGGCUUGACAGAAGGAAAGGUGUUUCCUGUGUGUAGCAGAGAGAGAACCAAUCAUUAUGGUAAUGCCUCAGACACCUAUCAGAUGGGCUUUCCUGCUGCUUCAUGGGAAUAAGCUACUAAUAUCUUAUUCUGACACUGGAGAGAGAAGAGCAGUGUGUGGAGAUGGCUGCAGUCUUCAGAAGCUGUAUAGCUCAGAGCUGAUGGUGACAGGAGCGACGAAUACUGAAUCGAUUAGACAUUUAUAUUAUCAAAACACAAACUUUACAAAUAUAAAUAAUCAAAACUUUGAAACUUGAGAUUUUUUCACCAUUUCAUCGACAACUUACAGCCAUUUGAACUCUCUCUUUCUCCCUCUCUGCUCCUCUCAUUUUGCAGCCAAUACUGCAGCUCUGGGGACUCAUUUCUGAGUGCUUAUACAACAUUUAAUGUAGUCUACAGUCAGUUCCUAAAAUGUGAGCAGGAUCAAUACAUGAAAUGUCUCUAUGCAUUUACACUGAGUGUACAGAACUUAAAGAACAUCUG